rnacentral:lncRNA from 1 species
AUGAGCUAUUACUAGGCAGUAUUGGUUUGGUAUUUUGGUUUUUAAUUAAUGCAAUUAUUUGCCAACAUAUUUGCUGUUGCUUCAUUUUGUGAAAGCAAUAAGCCUUUCUACAGUGAAUUUACCACUGUGUUGGUUAGUUUAUUCUGGAAUUAACUGCUUGUUAAAACUAUUUUAUGAUUUUUUUUUUCUAAAGAUUUCUGUCAGUAAAGCACAUCUAGUGUCAUUGUUCACACACAGAUGUUCUCUGAGCAGUCGGAUGUGCUUUAUCUCUGUUGUACGUCUCAAUCCGGCAUCCAUUUUGGUAGGACUAAUGGUGUGACAUUUAAAAACAUGUUUGUGGGUUAAUGGAGGUCUCCUGACUGCAUGUGGCUCUAUAAUAGAUAUAUUAUAGUCUAUUCUCUGGGAUGAGAGGGCUCAUAUUUAAGAGAGAGAAAGAGCAAGAGUGAGUGUGUGGAUGUGUGUGCGUCACACACCCACCUGCUCGUAAUGACAAUAGUUUAAACUCUAUUCCGACAUGAAGAGCAUCGCUCCUGCUUUUUAAAAGAUGACACAUGCCUUUCCCCACAUCUUUGUGCUUUUUGAAACCAGUAUGAUUGCAUCCGGUCAGAGUCAGGGAGAAAGAGAAAAGGAGGGAGGACAACAUAAAGGCGACUGAACAAAUGAGCAAGACUGAUUUUUGAAAGUUUGAUACUUUUAUCUGUUUUUCCCCCUCUGAAACUUCAAACAGGUUAUUUAAUGUAUUCUCUCUCUCUCUUUUUCUCCUGCAGCCUCUCUUUGCUCCUUCUCUCUCUUCGAGCAGAGCGCAAAAAUGAAAAAGGGAAAAAACUGAAGUAUUGUCAUGUGAGCUGAGAUUAAUUUUAGAUUGCUCUGCUGUUCUGCUUUACCUUCAAAGGACCUCCAUUACGUGGCAGCAGAUAAGGGUGAGGUGGUGUUAGCUGCUGUAGCCAAGAAGAAGGCUAAUGAAAUAGACGCAGAGGCACAAACAUCGGCACCAGAUGAGUGUCAGUCAGCGUACAAAGGGCAGAGUGGAGUCAAACUACCAUCAACCAUCAGCGAGAGGCAUGUUCACGACCCCAAACACUGGAGCACUGCAUCAAGGACUGGAGAAACGUCAACCUCUGAGGCUACGGACGAGUUCUUGAAUGCCCCGACAAGUAGUCACGCCUGGCCCUGGAAACACACAGGUGUGUUCUUUUAAAUACAAGUCCGUUUGAGUAAAUACAGUUCUCAAAGUAGAUAUAAAAGUAACAGGGUUGAAUGACUUCAUUGUUCUCAGUAUUGGGAUCAAGGCGUACAGCUUGUUUUUCAUGUUGAGCUUUAUGGUUAUAAUUUAUAUUGACUGUGUGUUUUACACAGAGCUCUACAGCUGUAGAUAAUUCCCUCAUUAAUGCCCUGAGAGUGAUAUCUUCCCUUCUGUUUUGCCCUCUCAAAAAUAGGUUCAAGUUGACUGCCUUUUUUCUGCUUGUAUUGUACU